ACCGCGGUAGCCCAGUUGGUAGUGGCGUCGGCAGUACAGAUGAUGCCGAAGGUCGUAGGUUCAAAUCCUGCCUGUUGUG